rfam:Gossypium hirsutum cultivar TM-1 chromosome 2, whole genome shotgun sequence
GCUAAGGAUUUACUCGAAUCCACCUAAAUAUAUUUAUAUGAUAUUAU